AAAGCGAGGUUUCUUUUUAUUGCAAGUACAAGCUAGCUCGUAACUUCCAUCUCCAACACCCCGCAACAGCGAGGUAGAGAGAGAAGCAUAUAUAAGCUGGGAGACAGGCGGCAGAACUGCAUGGAAGCAGCCGUUUGCUGCGCUAUCAGGAAAGGAUCUUCCCAACCCUGCUGAGCAUCCUGUGGCGUGUGCAGUAUACCUCCGGGCUUCCAGCUUUUGCGAGCCAUCCAUCACCUACGCUUGCUUUCGUGAUUAUAGCUGUCUGAGUGAUUUCUGCUCCUAAACGGACAUUGAGGUAGAGUUGCUGAAGUCUUUCCAACAAGUUCCAAUGCAGCCUCUGGACUGGGCAGGUUCCCAGGGGAUUUCAGAAGCUCACAAAAACUGGGCAUUGAGUAGAAAUACUCCUCCCACCUCAUUUUUAUGUACAGUAUAUGUUGCUUGGAGUCAACUUAUAAAUUUUGUCCCGAUUGAUUUUAAUUGUAAAUGAGUGCAUAGGAGGUGACUGUUGUGACCGGAGGGCAGUCUGGAUCCUCCAGAGAGUGGAUGCUGUGCCUUUUCCCAGAGAUGUUCCAUGUCAGGGGACAUCAGAGCAGUCUCAUCCUGGCCUCUACUUGAACUUUACAUGGAGAAGGAGGCACAAUGUGACUUGGUUUAUUUCUCUUUGUCUUUAAACUUUGCACAUAUCAAACAUGCAACAGAUAUUUAUACAAUAAAUGCUUAUACUAACUGCAUGCUUGUGUGUGCGUGCACACGCAUGUGUGCGUGUGUAUGUUCACCUGUUAAUGGAGGGACUGAAGGGAUUGAAACGUCUAGGUGGAAUAUAUCCAGAGUAUAAUCAUACUUACAGUAAUACCUGACUGAUGGUUUUAAUUGUACCUGUGUUGUCCUGUUAGAAAGUGGGGAGAUAGAUGUGGGGACUAUUUUGGUUUUCUGAGCUUUCCAUCAUGAUUUAAAAAAAAUCAAAGAGAAAAAAAAAAAAAAAACAGGAACAGUAGCACCUGCCUGUAAUCCCAGUACUUGGUGGGUUGAAGGUGGAUUAGAAGUUCAAGAAUGUCCUUGGCUACAAAUGGAAUUCUAGGCCAGCUCAGGCUACGUAAAGAAGGGAAGAGAGAGAGAGAGAGAGAGAGAGAGAGAGAGAGAGAGAGAGAGAGAAUAAAUCAGUUCUGAGCAAACAUGUGGAAGAUAUUUCAACCUGUUCAAGAAGGGGUGACUUGGAGAAUAGAGUGGACAUGUGAGAUAAAACCUAAGACCUCAGGCCCUGUGGGCCACCCCCAACCCCCACCCCUUUGUGCCUUUGGAACUGUACCUGCUUUCAUCUUCAA